ensembl:misc_RNA Metazoa_SRP Metazoan signal recognition particle RNA
GCUGGGCGCGGUGGCUCACGCCUGUAAUCCCAGCACCUUGGGAGGCUGAGGUGGGCGGAUCACCUGAGGUCAGGAGUUCAUGACCAGCCUGGCCAAGAUGGUGAAACCCCAUCUCUA